CCUACGGGAGGCAGCAGUGAGGAAUAUUGGUCAAUGGGCGCGAGCCUGAACCAGCCAAGUAGCGUGAAGGAUGACUGCCCUACGGGUUGUAAACUUUUUUUAUAAAGGAAUAAAGUGAGGCACGUGUGCCUUUUUGUAUGUACUUUAUGAAUACGGAUCGGCUAACUCUGUGCCAGCAGCCGCGGUAAUACGGAGGAUCCGAGCGUUAUCCGGAUUUAGUGGGUUUAAAGGGAGCGUAGAUGGGUUGUUAAGUCAGUUGUGAAAGUUUGCGGCUCAACCGUAAAAUUGCAAUGGAAACUGGCAGUCUUGAGUACAGUUGAGGUAGGUGGAAUUCGUGGUGUAGCGGUGAAAUGCGUAGAUAUCACGAAGAACUCCAAUUGCGAAGGCAGCUUACUAAACUGCCACUGACAUUGAUGCUCGAAAGUGUGGGUAUCAAACAGGAUUAGAUACCCUGGUAGUC
rnacentral:rRNA from 1 species